rnacentral:rRNA from 1 species
UGUAUUUUGUAAAGUUGUUCUAGUUUUGUAACUAAAAUGGUUUGGCAGUGAGCGAUUCUUAUUAGGGGAAUAUGCAUAGUGAAGGAUGGUCCACCUAUUAGUUUACUCUUUUUAUGUUGGUGUAUGUCUGGUUUGAUAUUAUUGUUGAAUAAUUUAAGUUUGUGUAGUUUUAGUUAAGCUAAGUCUAUGUGCUGCUUAUGGGAGUUUUUGUGUGUUACAUUAAUAAGGGUGUUAUUGUAAGAUGAUGUGAUUUAGGA